ACGGCUCAGUAACACGUAGUCAACCUGCCCUUGGAACAGAAACAAUCUCGGGAAACUGAGGCUAAUGUCUGAUAGGUGGAGGCACCUGGAAUGGGCCUUCGCUGAAAGGGCUCUGGGAACAUGCUUCCAGAGUCGUCCAAGGAUGGGACUGCGGCCGAUCAGGUUGUUGGUGAGGUAACGGCUCACCAAGCCUAUAACCGGUACGGGCCCUGAGAGGGGGAGCCCGGAGAUGGGAACUGAGACAAGGUCCUAGGCCCUACGGGGCGCAGCAGGCGCGAAACCUUCGCAAUGCGCGCAAGCGUGACGAGGCUAUCCCGAGUGCUGUCCGAAGAGGAUGGCUUUUUAUCGGUGUAAAUAGCCGUUAGAAUAAGGGGGGGGCAAGACUGGUGUCAGCCGCCGCGGUAAUACCAGCCCCCUGAGUGGUAGGGAUGAUUAUUUGGCCUAAAGCGUUCGUAGCCGGUUCAGUUAGUCUACCGUUAAAUCUGGCGACUCAAUCGUCAGGCUGCGGUGGAUACUGCUGGACUAGGAGGCGGAAGAGGUCGACGGUACUCCAGGGGUAGGGGUGGAAUCCUAUAAUCCUUGGAGGACCACCAGUGGCGAAGGCGGUCGACCAGGACGCGCUCGACGGUGAGGAACGAAAGCUGGGGGAGCGAACCGGAUUAGAUACCCGGGUAGUCCCAGCUGUAAACGAUGCGAGCUAGGUGUUAGGAGGGCCACGGGCCCUCCUAGUGCCUCAGGGAAGCCCUUAAGCUCGCCGCCUGGGGAGUACGGUCGCAAGGCUGAAACUUAAAGGAAUUGGCGGGGGAGCACCACAAGGCGUGAAGGCUGCGGUUUAAUUGGAUUCAACGCCGG
rnacentral:rRNA from 1 species